UCUUUAUAUCCUCUCUGAUUAUAAGGAUUAAUUGUAUGUAUCUUUUCCUUUAUUUCCUGCAGUCAUGUUGCCUUGAAGAGUGUUAUAUGGAUUAGCAAAACAGCAGUGUCAGAGGAAUUGUGCUUUGUUGGGAAUCCAGAGGAAAAAAAUACGCUAAACUAACAUCAGGAGUCUGAUUAAACUUGGAAGAUGCAGAGACAUGUUCCCUUCUUCUGUCUUGAGGUUGAUUGAGAGGAAAGUGGAAAACACUGUGUGCAUACAUGUACUGAAGUGCACAAGUGUCCACAAAACCACACCCAGCAAAAGCUUCUAUAGCUUUCUAUCUGUGGCAUCAUCUCUCCUAGAUGUGCCAACAUAGCAUGAAAUUAUCUUUCACAAAUAGAGCAACUGGUUACUGUGAGAAGUUUGGUGAAAGCAGGGUGAGACAAACAGCAGAGAAGAAAGGGAAGUUUCAGGAAGGUCAGGAAGAGCAUUCAAAGAACACAAAAUUCCACACUGUCAUUGAAGACUGGAGAGUCAGCAAGACCCUCUUUUUGUUAGCUUGUCCAGGCACCCACCCUUCUGCCCAUGGCUCCUGAGCACAGUAGGAUUGGACAUGCUCCUCUUCCCAUACAUACAUACCUACCUACUACUGGUGUAGCCAGUGUCUGGAGUAUCUACAUUCAAAUACAAAUAUUUUGGCUUUGUAUGUCUUACUUGCUAGUGCUUGCUAAAAAAUGUAUAUCUUUAAAGAACGUGGUCCAUCACUUGCUCCUAUUGAUCAUCUGUAGGCAAAUAAGGGUUUUUUUUUUGUAGACAUGUGAAAUUAAAAAUAAUAAGAUUCACAGCAUUGCAUUGUACCUGAUGCCAGAUAAUUUCAUUGUAGGAGUUAUAUGGUUAUAUUAGUAUUGAUGGUUAUAUUAGUACUGACAAUUCAGUGCUAUUAGAUCCACUUGCACAAAGAGCCAUUAGUACUAAGAAGUAAUAAUUAAAGUACUCAACACCUGAUUUUUUUUUAUUAGGAGAGGAGAAAGAAAAUGUAUAAUUACUGUAGAUGUUAAGAGGUUAAUACUUGUAGUAGGGCAGCUUUGCACAGUUUUCUGAAAAGAGAGGGAAAAUUUUCCCUGGAGGGAACAGGAAAACUGUCUAAUAAUUAAAUUAUUUAAAUUUUCUGAUGAUUGUGCAUAGUUAGUGAAGUUAAAUCAGUAAGAAUUUUCCUUCUAUUCACAUGAAAUAAAGCUCAUAAUAUAAUAAGUGUGUGACA
rnacentral:lncRNA from 1 species